rnacentral:tRNA from 1 species
GCUGGUGUAGCUCAGUUGGUAGAGCAGCUGCCUUGUAAGCAGCCGGUCGGCGGUUCAAGUCCGUUCACCAGCUCCA